GGUGUAGUUCAAUUGGUAGAGCACCGGAUUGUGGUUCCGGCUGUCGUGGGUUCGAGUCCCAUCAC
rnacentral:tRNA from 1 species